rnacentral:lncRNA from 1 species
AGAGGCUCUAUUCAGUCAAGGGGUGAUGAACUCUCUUUGGGUCUGGAGACAGGCUGGAACUGGGAUGAGAUAUGGAGACCCUGCCAUUUACGACAACGUGGAUGUAUCUGCAGGACAUUAAGACAAGUGCAAUAAGCAAGACACGGAAAGAAAAUAUAGCAUGGUCUCUCUUAUAUGUGGAAUUUUAAAAAUUAACUCUGAAUACUUUGGAUUAAACUGAUGCAGCAGUCAUCCAAGAGAUGUCCACAUAUGUACUCCUGUUAAUGUUAGUUCCUUUCAUCCAAGCCAUCAGAGGUUCUCCCUGGAUCUCAUUUUUGGGAUUAAAUGAAGCUGUAAGCAUCUUUGAAGUACAAAUGAUACUUGGAAAGUAAAUGAAACUGGGAAUACUUGCAAGUAAAAUAUGGGAAGUCAAAGAGAUUAAAGGAUGAGAACCAGAAAUUGCUUAUGGCCAGUGUCCUGAGUAAGCCUCAGAAUCGCAUCCUAGAAGCAUCAAGUUCUUGUGUUACCCUAUGGAUCUAAAAAACGACUUCCUUAGUUUGAUGUAGUCUGCAGACAUCUCAUCAUCACAAAAACUUGAAAGCACUUACAGCACUAAGAAACUACCUUUGCAGAUUGUAAAAAAAGAUAGAAUCCUACUUAGUGUUUUGAUCACACCUGCCUAUUUCCCCAAGGUUUUACUGCAGGGUUAAAGAAUGAAUAAGCAUCUAGUUAUAUUUAAUAAACUCCAUGCCUUAUGGCUGAUUCUAAAGGC